rnacentral:rRNA from 1 species
GACGAACGCUGGCGGCGUGCCUAAUACAUGCAAGUAGAACGCUGAAGAGAGGAGCUUGCUCUUCUUGGAUGAGUUGCGAACGGGUGAGUAACGCGUAGGUAACCUGCCUGGUAGCGGGGGAUAACUAUUGGAAACGAUAGCUAAUACCGCAUGAUAUUAAUUGUCGCAUGAUAAUUAAUUGAAAGAUGCAAUUGCAUCACUACCAGAUGGACCUGCGUUGUAUUAGCUAGUUGGUGAGGUAACGGCUCACCAAGGCGACGAUACAUAGCCGACCUGAGAGGGUGAUCGGCCACACUGGGACUGAGACACGGCCCAGACUCCUACGGGAGGCAGCAGUAGGGAAUCUUCGGCAAUGGGGGGAACCUUGACCGAGCAACGCCGCGUGAGUGAAGAAAGGGUUUUUCGGGAUCGUAAAAGCUUCUGUUGUAAAGAGAAAGAAACGGGUGUG